UGGGGAAUAUUGCACAAUGGGCGAAAGCCUGAUGCAGCGACGCCGCGUGAGGGAUGACGGCCUUCGGGUUGUAAACCUCUUUCAGUAGGGACGAAGCGCAAGUGACGGUACCUGCAGAAGAAGCACCGGCUAACUACGUGCCAGCAGCCGCGGUAAUACGUAGGGUGCGAGCGUUGUCCGGAAUUACUGGGCGUAAAGAGCUCGUAGGCGGUUUGUCACGUCGUCUGUGAAAUCCAAGGGCUUAACCCUGGACGUGCAGGCGAUACGGGCUGACUUGAGUACUACAGGGGAGACUGGAAUUUCUGGUGUAGCGGUGGAAUGCACAGAUAUCAGGAAGAACACCGAUGGCGAAGGCAGGUCUCUGGGUAGUAACUGACGCUGAGGAGCGAAAGCAUGGGUAGCGAACAGG
rnacentral:rRNA from 1 species